AUAUCCCCCACUCCAGUCUCUGAAUUUUCUUACUCGUCAAUGGCGAAACGAAGCUCCUCUUCAUCCCUCUGGUUCUCACCUCUAUCCUCCUUCAUCCUCCCAAGAAGCGGAGAUUCUCUCUUUUACCUCAUAGCCCUCCUCUCCAUUUUCUCUCUCCUCAUCCACCACCUCUCUCUCUCCACAAUCUCCGCCGCCUCCCAUUUCGAAGGCUUCGACGCCGAAGACGAUGAACCCCUCGAUUCCGACGACUCCCUUCUCUCCGAUCUCCCCCUCCGAUCACCUCCUCCUCCCACUACCUUGACUUCUCUCUCCGAUCCCGAAUCCCACCAUGGCCCACCCAAUCCCGCCCCUUCUUCUCCAAACCCAAAUCCAUCUCAGCAACCGUCCGAUCUCCCUCCUACGAAAACCUCACCCACUUCCUUCGAUUACUGGGAUGAAGAUGAAUUCGAAGGCUUGCCUCUACAAACACCCCCGGAACCAGCCCAAAUUACUGAAAAUGCCACUGAUGCUGAAAAAGAUGAAAAAGAGUCUAAACCCAAAUCAAAUAUUGUAAAGGGUCCUAGAUCUUAUACGAUUGAGAUCGUUUGUGUUGCUUUCUUAAUUAUGUUCUUGAUCAAUUAUUUUACUGGUAG
rnacentral:lncRNA from 1 species